ensembl:lncRNA
AUCCAAGGAGAUUUGCUGUGGCGGCGAUCUGAAGACGGUAGAAAACACCGUUAUCUCAUCGUCUUAGGCUGGCUCUGUGCAUAUGUUGAAACCCACCUUUGAAGGUUUCCAGCGGCUAGCAAAGCCAGGCUGUGUGCUCGGUUUAUCUAGCGUCGCUGGGUGGAAUUCAGAGCUUGCAACCUACAGGUCCUCCGGGCAGCUCGCUGUUUUGCUUUCAUGCCCAAACAACCCAAUUAAGAUCCUCUUGUUCCUGAGUCACUGAGUUUUCUGAUCCAACUGACUCCUCGGGUGGUUUUAACAUCUAUUUAUAGAUAUCACCGAGGAUGAUGCUUGUGUACUGGUGUACGAGGAUGAUAACGAUAAGUGGAAGACAGAUUCUUUCUCUACAUGAUUCACUGUGAUGAUUUCCCUUACAGUGGGGGCCAUGUGAGCCGGGACUUGCCUGCAAGUUACAAAGUGAGGGGGGACGGCUUCACAUUUAUGGGAGGAGGCAGUCUCUUGCAGUCAGAGCUGACUUGGGAGUAUUACAUUCCCUCUCUCUCCAUCUAAGGAAGAAAACAACGGGUCUGGGGGUUAAAAGGCUCAGGAGGAUAAGUGGCAGACCCUGAGUGAUAUCAUUUCCCAUGCUCCUCAGGGAAUGAACAUUAUCACCUUCAUGUCACUUCUUCUGGGGUUGGGGAAAAAAAAAACUGAGAAAGAAUUCGGACUCCGUUGACACAUCACAGAUGAAGAAACAGACCCAGAAGGGCUGUGUGUCUUUUCUGAGGCCACUAAACUUCUUGGCUGACAGCUGGACGUCGUGUGGUCUGCAGAAGAUGCUGGGAAGGAGAAAUGAGUCUCUCCUGACCUCAUUCCUUUUAUUCAGAGAAGUUGAAUGCAGAGAACUUGGACGUACCGCUUGGCUGGUAGAUCUGAGAAUCCGUGUCACUCUCAUUCUCUCAAGCAUCAAUGGAGCCGCCUUGUCUGGGACAAGCCUUAUGGCCGAUGCUGACCUAAAUGCUCUGGUCACAUUUUAGCUGUCACAGAGAAUAGGGUCUCUUCAGCCCAGCUCAGUGUAGGUUCUGAACGAAUCUUCAUGGAAUGAACUUUACAUGGAAUCUCUCCCAGCUUUCCUUUGGUGGCUUAGCCAAGACCCUGCAGGUGGGUAGACAUUUGUGAAAAGUAAGGCACUCUCUUUGUUAAAGUGGUCUUUUAUUUUAUUUCAUCUUGUGGAGACCUCUCCAUUGGUCUCUGAAUGGUUCUUCACAUGACUCCCAGUUCCGAAGCAGGAAAACCAUUUUUUUUUUCUGGCUCCUGGAGAAAGAGCCUAAUGAGUAAAGCUACUUUCCCUUACGUGAUUCAGUACCAAAAAAGGGAUAGUUGUGGAUAAAAUGGCAUCCACAGGUGAUAUAAGAUCAUAGAUAAGAAUGGAGUUUCUGGAGCCAGGUAUCCUGAGCUCAAAUCAUGGCCUUCUGUGUCUUACGUGGCUUCUGUGACCUAGGGAAACUUGUUUUAACUUCUGUGUGUCGUCGUUUACUCAUCUCUAUGUGGAGAUAGCAAUUGCGUCUAUAUCAUAGGGUUGCUAAGGCAUCACAGGGUUGUUAAAUACAUACAAAAGUUCUUAGAAUAGUUCUGGCAAGUAAUAGGUGCUCUGUAAGACUUAGGUAUCAUUUUUAUUAUUUUGUUGUUAGGAGCCAGGGAGGGCAAUGAGUUGUUAGGUCCUUUAGAUUGUAACAAAGACCCACUCAGAUGAUCUAAUAGAAAGUGAGUCUAUGGCUAAGACUCUCUUAUGCUUCAAAAGGAGACAGGGAUUUCUUGGGGACCUAUGGAGAGCCCUAGAACGCAGCCUGGAUCAUAAUUACAUAAUUCAAGACCUGAAAGAUCUAAUGCAGCACUAGGGACCAGGUUUAUUGCUGCCUCCUUAGCAUCUGACAUUCGCGCAUUUUCUCUUUGGUCUGCCCAUUAACGUGACUCAGCCAUUUUUGUCAUCUCUGAUUAUAAUUUCUGAGUCUUGUUUCUCAAAUAACUUAGCUUUUC